CCCCUUCCACCACACGUAUCAUCUACUCUCUCUCACCUAAAUUACUAUUCAUAUUCUUCCCCAAAUUGCACAAAUAGGGAAAAAUCUCUCCCAGAUCAGAAUUUCCGUCGACCAGCCAUCCCACCGGCGCCGCCUCUGCCUCCGGUGCCGCCAUCAUGCCACCACCACCUCCGUCUGUCCCUUCUCCUUUCUCUUCUCUCCCUCGCCUAUGCUCACGCCGCCGCCGCUGCAGAUCCGCCGUCGUCGCGGGUCCGCCUCCCCCAGCCGCCGACGCCACAUCCGAGACCCCUUCCCCUGCCGUGCGUAGCUUUCCGACAUGUAACAUUUGCCAAGAUUUCGAAUUCAUUGAAAGUCAUAGGGGCGUGGGGCUGCCCUCGUCGUCUCCGGGCGGCCAAGCUCGCUGCCGGAAUCCGGUAGAUUCAUAGAGAUAAGUUUUUCUCCUUCUUUCUAGUUAUUAAGGCAGUGGGAUUCUAUUUUAUUUCUAUUUACUGAAUUUGGUGAAUUAUGAGUAGUAUAUGCCUUGCUAUAUGGAAGAUUAAAUGGUGAAAAUAAAUUAUGUUGUUAAACUUGUGGUAGCAGAUUCUAUUUCCAAAAAAUAUGCAUAUGCUUGUAUAUAUAUGACUAUGAAAGAAAAGGGAGGUUGGGGUUUACCUUAUUGAUAUGAGAACAAAGUGUUGUUGGAUUGUAGAGUAUGAUCCUAUAAUCAUCUGCAAGACUCCCCCGUCUCUGAUUCUUGUUCUCCCUUUCGAUUUGUUGGUGUGUGCAGAGAGAAUAGAUGGUGUGAUUGUGAUGUGGGGGUGAAGAAAACGAUUGUCUAUAUGUAUAAAAGAUGGGGGUGAAAGUGGCAUGGGUAGCAAGUUGGUUGUGGCAAGUUGCCUGCCAGAUUCCUAUCUCAAAUCUCUUUUGCCAGAGGAGGGGAUAAAAUUUGCCUAAUCUAAUUAAAUGCAUCAUUGAAUGUUGGGUUAAAAAAACGAUUCUCCCCCCUCUCUCUUUUUCUUUUUUUUAAUUUUAUUUUAUUUAUUUAUUAAAGUAACUAUUUAAGUAUUUAUUCACUUGUUCAUUUAAUUUGGUGUAGGUAAGAUCAGUUCAAGUUUGUGGUUGUCCGCGUUGAAGUUCCCGAUUUUUAUUAGAACGCAGGAGGCAGCGACGGGGAACAGGGGCUGAUGCGACGUCGGCUCUGGGCUGGAUCGCGCACAGCCACGGCGGGAGGAAAACAGCAAUAUCCGUUCAACGGCGACCCUAGUGGCGGCAGCGGUGGCUGAUCAACAGCGAUGAUGGAGAGUCUCGGCUGCGCGAAUCGCAGCGACGAUGAGAGAAGAAGAUAGGCGAAGAGCUGAGCUUUCGAGCUCACCGACGGUGACGACGGAGUACAGAUCGGAGGGCAGAGAAAGCGAGGUUGGGAACAGGGGCAGUAGCUGCGCGAAGGACAUCAGCCGCGCAGCAGUUCAGCGACCAAACGCCGACGAAUGAGGGAGAGCAGACCUAGACAAUGGCUGACGGCGAAGGAGAAUUUUUUAAGAGAGAGGGAGCGCUGCGUGAAAGGAGAUGCGAUA